rnacentral:rRNA from 1 species
UGAGGAAUAUUGGUCAAUGGGCGAGAGCCUCAACCAGCCAUGCCGCGUGCAGCAAGCCGGCCCUAUGGGUUGUAAACUGCUUUUAUGUGAGGAUAAACCUAUUCUUGCGAGAGUAGCUGAAGGUAUCACAUGAAUAAGGAUCGGCUAACUCCGUGCCAGCAGCCGCGGUAAUACGGAGGAUCCGAGCGUUAUCCGGAUUUACUGGGUUUAAAGGGUGCGUAGGCGGGCCCCUCAGUCAGCGGUGAAAGUCUGCGGCUCAACCGUAGGAUUGCCGUUGAUACUGGGGGCCUUGGAUUCGGUCGUGGCGGGCGGAAUGCGUGGUGUAGCGGUGAAAUGCUUAGAUAUCACGAAGAACGCCGAUUGCGAAGGCAGCUCGCCGGGCCGAAAUCGACGCUGAGGCACGUAAGCGGGGGGAUCGAACA